AUGGAGACCGCCGUGGCGGCGCCGACGCCGGGCUGGGCGCAGGGCAAGGCGGCGGGUGGAGUGAGAGGGGGGGUGGGUGGCCUCUCCAGCGUGGAGCGGAGCACCUUCAAACAACGGGGGAUGGAGACCCCCUUGGCGGCACCGACGCCGGACCGGGUGCAGGGCAAGGCGGCGCCGACGCCUGGCCGGGCGCCGGGCAAGGCGGUGGGAGGAGUGAGUGGGGGUGUGUGUGGCCUCUACAACGAUGAGUGGAGCACCUUCAAACAGCGGGGGAGAAAAAUCCUCCGGCGGGCGACAGACCAGAAAGGUUGUCUGCGGAGAUUGCGGGAGAAGGCGGAUGCGUUCCUUAAGAUGGAUUCGUUUGCAGCGAAAUCAAAGGGAGAGGGACGCCAAAUUCUUCCAGGUCAGACUGAGGCUGAGAUCUCGGUCUCUGAUUUGGCAAGGAUAGACCAAAUUCAGGUGAGUUAUGGGCAGAGUGAAGAAUCAGUUUCUUCCAAAAUUAAUUCCAAAUUUGUUUCCGUUGGGAUUGGGGAUUAUGCUGGUUUAAUUCUCAGCGCUAAUAGCGUUAGUAUGAGGGAGAAAUUUGUGGUGUCAAGGGAGUAUUUAAGGGAAGGGAAUCAGGGAGAGUUGUACCAAUUUUGGAUGUACUCUGUUCCUCUUCCUCCUGUGUCUGCGCUCUGUCCUCUUUGUGUGAAACAGGAACCGAUGGCCACCAGUCGGGAGACAGAGAUGGACCUAGACGGUGGCGCCAUGAGUACUGGUACCAACUUGGGCGCACCGGUGAUGGGAUCGGAUGGCGCCGUGGUCGCCGUGGGCGCCGCUAGCGCGGCCACUUCUGCUCCUGCGUCCGCUGAUGCAGUGGCUAGAGAGAAGACCAACACCCCGAUGCUGGAGAAGCGGAAGGCAACAGUGGGUGGCCCGGCUGGGCUGGCGAUCACCACCACUCCUAAAACUGUCGUUGGCUUCACGGCUGCGGUGGCGCCUCCCCAACUCCGUAGAUACGGGAAGAUCAAGGAGGCCUCGAGCUCGAGGGCUCCCAACAAGCCAAUCGUCAUCAACCUGGAGGCGGCUCUUCGGGCGGUGGCCGGAAAGCUGGUGGUCGGCCGGGUGCUCUCUCCGUACCCGGUUGACCCCAAGAUGGUCGUCAACGAGCUCAGAGGACCGUGGCGGCUACGCGGCGAUGCCGUGGCCCAGCGUGUCACCAGUGAAGACCGCCGCUUCAUCAUCACUUUCAAGGAGGAGGGUGACCGGAGUCACGUUUUGCAUGCUGGGCCAUGGCAUUUCAGAGAUGAUGUUGUGGUGCUUGCGGCCUUCGACGGGAGGGGAAAUCCGGAAGACGUGCCCCUCGACUCCAUCAAGAUCUGGGUACAAAUCUGGGGCCUUCCUGUCCCACUCAAGACGGUGGAGAUGGGCAAAGUGAUGGGCGACAAGCUCGGCAAAGUGGUCGCGGUCUCCCACAAGGACAAGAUGAUCGUCGACGAGCACCUUCGUGUCCGGGCUGAGCAUCGUGUGGAGGAGCCACUGCGGAAAGUCAUCGACACGGUCGAAACUAUGUUGGACGGCAACACAAAAGAGGUCCUGUAUGAUGUAAAGCGCCGGUGCUCUGGAAGAGGCCUCAGGUGGGGGUUGGUCCAGAGCGCCGCGGAGGACAGACCCUCUCCAUGGUGGUCCAAGAGAGGGAGUCCAGGGAACCUGUCGUGCUUCCGGAGAAGGUCGUCACCGCCGUGUUGA
rnacentral:rRNA from 1 species